rnacentral:rRNA from 1 species
AGAUUGAACGCUGGCGGCAUGCCUAACACAUGCAAGUCGAACGGGAGUAGCAAUACUCUAGUGGCGGACGGGUGAGGAAUACGUAGGGAAUUUGCCCUUAAGUGGGGGAUAACCCGGGGAAACCCGGAUUAAUACCGCAUGACCUCGAAAGAGCAAAGUGGGGGAUCGCAAGACCUCACGCUUUUGGAGAAGCCUACGUCGGAUUAGCUAGUUGGUGAGGUAAUGGCUCACCAAGGCGACGAUCCGUAACUGGUCUGAGAGGAUGAUCAGUCACACCGGAACUGAGACACGGUCCCGGACUCCUACGGGAGCAGCAGGUGGGGAAUAGUUGGACAAGUGGGACGCAAGGCCUUGGAUCCGAGCCAAGUCGGACCGCGUUGUGUGAAAGGACGGU